GCCCCCUUAGCUCAGUUGGUUAGAGCUGCAGGCUUUUAACCUGUGAGUCCUGGGUUCGAAUCCCAGAGGGGGCA
rfam:Solirubrobacterales bacterium 67-14 SCNpilot_bf_inoc_scaffold_133, whole genome shotgun sequence.